AAAACAACAAUGAAAGCACUGUAAGUCUUUGUUUUUCAUGAAAUCAUUAACUAGUGUAUCUUGCACAAUGAAUUAAGAGACAUGGAAACAGUUGCAGUAUAUAAAAGAGCCAGUCCGAAAAUAUGCCCUAUAUGAUCAUUAAUUUUAUAAGGAAGGAGAUGUGGUCCAUAUAUGUUACUGGGUUGGGACAUUGCUUAAUUAGAAUAUGGGAUGUGUUAAUUUGUCAGCCUCUUUCAUUUCUAGAAUGAGUAGUAAAUAAAGGACAGCUGCAUGGUUUUGUAACAAAACUGAUAUGAUGUCUUGAAGAUGGAUGUUGCUGUACGAGUCCUGCACGGUGUGUGGGCUGCUGUGGGAUGAAUGAAAACCAGGAAGCUGUUUCCCUUUGGUGACAGGGACUCAAAAUGCUUACUGAAUGCAACAAAUUGAUGUAGUUUAAGAUAUGCAGGGAUCUUCAGAUGAAAUGUCAUGGCUUGUCAGUGUGGUCAGAUGAUUAUGUGACAUUUUAUGUUUCAGUAACUCUCAGUGUACCAUGAAAUUGAUGGAUGUAUGUUUUGGUUUUUUUUGUUCCCUUUACCACAAGGCCUUCUGGUACUGUUAGCUGUCCAAUUUGCAUGGAUGGCUACUCGGAGAUCGUGCAAAGUGGACGACUUAUUGUGUCAACCAAAUGUGGCCACGUCUUCUGUAGUCAGUGCCUCCGCGACUCUCUUAGGAACGCCAACUCCUGCCCAACUUGUAGGAAAAAACUCACUCAUAGACAAUACCAUCCGAUUUAUAUAUGAGUACUUACAUUUCUCAGGACAGAUUCAACUGGAUUUUGGGGAAAAAUGUCAUGUUUUCAAUGCUCUGAAGAUUUGAGGAGCAGCAGGUUGUGCACACGUCCAAAUAAAACUGAUUUUUUUGAGAAUAACUCGAGGAAAUAACUUUCCUUCUACUUUUUUAAUGCGUGAAUAAGAGGGGUCUGAAUAUUUUGUUAUUUCUUAUUCUUGAAAUUAUUCCCACCAUUGCGUACAGAUAUGAAAUAGUUACCUAUCAAACAGAUGAACAAUUUGCCAUUUCAUUACGCUUUAAUUUUUAUCCUAAAACUUGCUCGUUAUGUAUUGCUUCCUGCUAAAUCAUCUUUGCCCAGGUAGAAUAAGUUCUGUAACAAUGGAUCAUUUCAUCAUUAACUAAAUUGAUGUCCAGGACAACGCAAUAAACUAACCUGCUGUUAACCAGCAAUCAGAUGGUUGGUUGUUUUUAAGCAGGCAGCUUGAACAUGUAGAUGUCUUUAUGGACUCCAUGAGAUCUGAAACACAUAGCCCAAUUUGCAGCAUGUACAAUGUGAGGAUACUGCCAUGAAUUCCUGUAUUUGAAUCACAACACUGAAUUUAUUUUCUGUUUUCUAAUGUGAUGAGAUGGUCUCUUGGGUUUCCUGCAGUUCUACAGAGCUCUGUCUCCUUGUGGCUGAGGAGAAGGUAGUAUUCUCUAGGCUUGCUAGUGAUGAAUGAGAAGUAAAUUGUAUGCUUUCCUCUUGUCAGCUGAAUACCAAACUACCCAGGCAGAUCUUUUUACUGUAUCAAGUGUACCCAAUGCAAUGCCUCAAAUUCAGUCCAUUCACUUCAUUGCUCUCUUCAGUUGCUGUACUGACACACCUGACUGGUUUUAGCCUGAUGCGUAGGAUUAAGAUUUAGAUAAUUAUAAUGCUAUAAAUAGAGAGGGACAAGGAACUUUAUUUAAUCUCUUUGCUCUAAAGUCCAUGCAUCCUUCUUUUUGUGUGUGAUGCUACCUGUCCUGGGAGAGAGCUCUUCUGUUUGAACAAGGCAGGAAUGCACAGCUUUAGGCACUGUUGUCUGGUUACUUUUUUUUUUCCUAGAGCAGAGUUAAAAAUGUCUACUUAAAACCAGCUGAAAUCUGCAGGCUGAUGUGAAAUUCCAGAUGAGCUGAUGCAAAUAGGAUAAUAAGCAAGAUAAUUAAAAUUGGUGUUUUAUGGUCCACAUAUGCUGUAGCUGCAUCUAUGAAGGCUGAAAUUCGGUAUGUAAAGUAAAUCCAGAAUGAGACUGUCAGGUACCUUUUGGAAAACUGUUGAUUAUGAAAAGCCUUAGGAGUAGCAUUCUGGGCUCUGGGCACAAUGUGACUGUAGAAUGCAUUCAGUUAGCAGUAGACCUGAUACUUCUUUGCUGACUUGUCCUAGGGAUCGGUAGGAAGCCUUUAAUUAAACCAGCUCUUUUAAUUAGCCAUCUCAAGUUCUCGAUUGAAGAUUGCAUCCCAAGUCUCUUAUUAGGAUGUUGAGGGGUGUUACUGGGUGUAAUAAAGCAUCCCAAACUGUGUUGGGUAAAGGUCAGCUGCAGAACAGCAAUACCUUCCUCAGCGUGUUCUGGGGAAGCUUGGGUUUGGCCCUGCUACCAGCAAAAUGCAGGUCCUGCACUGGGGCAGUACUGUGACUACCAAGAAGUUACACAUCUCUCGUUCCUUUGCGCCUCAAUGGCAACAUGAACUCAUAAGUGAAGGAACACAGCAGUCUUAGGGUAGCUCAGCGACAGUGAGGGCUGGAAGUUCUGUUCCAAAAAAGGUGGAAUGAUGAAACAGUCCUAAAGAUGACUUAAAAUAUGAAUGAAGAGAAGAAGCAGCCCAACAUUAAACUGUGAAAAUAUUUAAAGGCUGUGAAGGGGGAAGGAACUUCAGGCCAGUUUUCCCAGGGUGGCUGCUGCGUCAGAAGGAUGGUAAUGAGAGAGUUUAAUGGAUUACCUCUGGACGAGGCUGUGUCACAUCCGUGCAGCUUCCAUAGUUAUUAGCUGUAGCCUGACAUGACUUUGCACAACUCCCUCCAUGUAAAUACCACUUUAUAGUUUGUGCUUCAGUAGCCCUAAUUGGAAUCUAGAUACCCAAGCUAUAAAAUAUUUAACAAAAAGUUUGUUUUUUUGUUUUUUUUUAGUCUUUUGUGUACCCUGUGAAGUGCCACAAAUCUGUGCAUCUUAAACUUUAAGUUCUCAGUAUGUGGACAAAUGCUAACUUGCAUUUUCCUCUUUUUGUUAAAAGAAAAAGGAAACCCCGAUAUAUUUGCGUUCCAGUGAUGUUUCACAUUGGCAAGAGCUGAUAGAUAAUAUAAGGACUUUUUCCAUUCUGUAAAUGUAUGUCUCGUUGUAUAUAGUUCAAUUUUUCCUGUAUUUAAUUGUAUUCAUGUCUGUAUGUCACAUCUAUGUUGGACUCUGCUGGUAAGCAAACAGCUCUUUCAACAGGUGGAAAUAAAAAAUAAUUUGCUCAAUCAA